CACCGCGGUUAUACGAGAGGCUCAAGUUGACAGACAACGGCGUAAAGAGUGGUUAGGGAAAUUUUUAAACUAAAGCCGAACGUCCUCAAAGCCGUUGAACGCUUCCGAGUUAAGAAGCCCCACUACGAAAGUAGCUUUACUUUACCUGACUCCACGAAAGCUGUGGAA
rnacentral:rRNA from 1 species